rnacentral:rRNA from 1 species
AUUGAACGCUGGCGGCAGGCCUAAUACAUGCCAGUCGAGCGGAUGAAGGGGGCUUGCGCCCGGAUUCAGCGGGCGACGGACGAGUAAUUCAUACGAAUCUGACUGGUCGUGGAGGAUAGCGUCAGGAAACGGGCCCUAAUAUCGUACACGAUCAGAGGUAGAAAGUGGGGGAUCUUGGGAGCACACGGUAUUAGAUUAACCGAGGUCUGAUUAGCUAGUGGGUGGGGUAAAGGCCUACGAAGGCGACGACCCGUAACUGGACUGAGAGGCGGAUCAGUAAAACUGGAACUGAGACACGGUCCAGACUCCUACGGGAGGCAGCGGUGGGGAAUAUUGGCAAAUGGGCGAAAGCUUGACGCAGCCAUGCCGCGGGUGUGAGGAAGGUCUUCGGAUUGUAAACCACUUUAAGUUGGGAGGAAGGUCAGUAAAUUAAAACCUUGCUGUUUUGACGGUACCAACAGAGUAAGCACCGGCUAACUUCGUG